UACGAAGGGUGCGAGCGUUAAUCGGAAUUACUGGGCGUAAAGCGCGCGUAGGUGGUUUGAUAAGCGAUAUGUGAAAUCCCCGGGCUCAACCUGGGAACUGCAUGUCGAACUGUCAGGCUAGAGUAUGGUAGAGGGGUGUGGAAUUUCCUGUGUAGCGGUGAAAUGCGUAGAUAUAGGAAGGAACAUCAGUGGCGAAGGCGAGUCUCUGGACAUUUCCUGACGCUGAGGCACGAAAGCCAGGGGGAGCAAACGGG
rnacentral:rRNA from 1 species